rnacentral:rRNA from 1 species
GACGAACGCUGGCGGCGUGCUUAACACAUGCAAGUCGAACGAAGUGGCGAACGGGUGAGUAACGCGUAAUCAACCUGCCCUUCAGAGGGGGACAACAGUUGGAAACGACUGCUAAUACCGCAUACUGAAGGAGGGGAUUGCGUUGGAUUAGCUAGUUGGAGGGGUAACGGCCCACCAAGGCGAUGAUCAGUAGCCGGUCUGGGAGGGUGAACGGCCACAUUGGGACGUGGAAACGGCCCAGACUCCUACGGGGAGCAGCAAGGGGGAAUCUUCCGCAAUGGACGAAAGUCUGACGGAGCCACGCCGCGUGAUUGAUAACGGCCUUCGGGUUGUAAAGCUCUGUUAAUCGGGACGCGGUACCGGAAUAGAAAGCCACGGCUAACUACGUGCCAGCAGCCGCGGUAAUAC